GACAGAGGGUGCAAACGUUGUUCGGAAUUACUGGGCGUAAAGCGCGUGUAGGCGGCCCUGCAAGUCGGAUGUGAAAUCCCACGGCUCAACCGUGGAAGUGCAUUCGAAACUGCAGGGCUAGAGUCCUGGAGAGGAAGGUGGAAUGCUUGGUGUAGAGGUGAAAUUCGUAGAUAUCAAGAGGAACACCAGUGGCGAAGGCGGCUCACUGGACCGGUACUGACGCUGAUGCGCGAAAGCGUGGGGAGCAAACAGG
rnacentral:rRNA from 1 species